GCUGGGUGCGGUGGCGCAUGCCUGUAAUCUCAGCAACUCAGAAGACUGAGGCAGGAGGAUCACAAGUUCAAAGCCAACCUUAGCAACUUAGCAAGACCCUGUCUCAA
rnacentral:sRNA from 1 species